rnacentral:rRNA from 1 species
AAUGGCUCAUUAAAUCAGUUAUCGUUUAUUUGAUAGUACCUUACUACAUGGAUAACCGUGGUAAUUCUAGAGCUAAUACAUGCUAAAAACCCCGACUUCGGGAGGGGUGUAUUUAUUAGAUAAAAAACCAAUGCCCUUCGGGGCUCCUUGGUGAAUCAUAAUAACUUAACGAAUCGCAUGGCCUUGCGCCGGCGAUGGUUCAUUCAAAUUUCUGCCCUAUCAACUUUCGAUGGUAGGAUAGUGGCCUACCAUGGUAUCAACGGGUAACGGGGAAUUAGGGUUCUAUUCCGGAGAGGGAGCCUGAGAAACGGCUACCACAUCCAAGGAAGGCAGCAGGCGCGCAAAUUACCCAAUCCCGACACGGGGAGGUAGUGACAAUAAAUACUGAUACAGGGCUCUUUUGGGUCUUGUAAUUGGAAUGAGUACAAUUUAAAUCCCUUAACG